rnacentral:misc_RNA from 1 species
GAUGAAGAACGUAGCGAAAUGCGAUAAGUAAUGUGAAUUGCAGAAUUCAGUGAAUCAUCGAAUCUUUGAACGCACAUUGCGCCCGCCAGUAUUCUGGCGGGCAUGCCUGUUCGAGCGUCAUUACAACCCUCAGGCCCCCGGGCCUGGCGUUGGGGAUCGGCGGAGCCCCCCGUGGGCACACGCCGUCCCCCAAAUGCAGUGGCGGUCCCGCCGCAGCUUCCAUCGCGUAGUAGCUAACACCUCGCGACUGGAGAGCGGCGCGGCCACGCCGUAAAACACCCAACUCUUCAAGUUGACCUCGAAUCAGGUAGGAAUACCCGCUGAACUUAAGCAUAUCAAUAAGCGGAGGA